CACGCGCCUGCUUGAGGGGUCUGGAGCCUGACACCUUUCUCCUAAUGCUUUCUGCCCUUCAGCCCGUGGAUAGUUGUCUGGUUCGCGUGAAGGAUUGCAUCCAGUUCUCCAGUUGUUGUGUUUCAGGUUGUGGUGCGUUAUUUGCUCCUAGAGGACCCUUAUGACCUUGCCUGGGUAUGCAGCUGAUAUGGAGAAUAAACCAGGUCAACUGAAUGAGUCAGCACAAGCAACAUCAAGACUUCUCAUUUUCUUAUGGCAUAAUUGCACCAUGAGAGUCACAGAAGACUUCAUAUACAAGGUUGGUGAGAGCAACAUGUAUCAAAAAAGGGACUGCAGUUUAAAGCUAGGGCUAGGACUUGGAGGAUGUGUAGGCAAACGGAAGGAGAGCCGGGGGAAGAAAAACCGAAAUGGAUUCAUUCUCUGUCCUGGAUGGAGGAGGAGAGGAGAAGAAGGGGACGUGCGAGCUUCCUUCAACUGCCUCUGUCCGGUGAAAAGUGAUCAAACCCCCGGGGCUCACUAG
rnacentral:lncRNA from 1 species